rnacentral:tRNA from 1 species
GGGCGAUUAGCUCAGCGGGAGAGCACUGCCUUCACACGGCAGGGGUCACUGGUUCAAACCCAGUAUCGCCCAUCA